GUGUGUGUGUGUGUGUGCGCGCGCGCGCGCGUGCACGAGCCGUGACUCUCACGCCCUCUGUGCCGGGUGAGGGGAGGAAGGGUGUUUUGUUGUGGACACUCCUGAGGCUAUUUUUGCCGCUUCGGAGACUGAAAGUGCCCCGAAGAGGGCGGAGGAGCAGCGGGUAAACCCUCGCUGUUGUGCUUGCGCCGCUCUCCCGCAGAGCUCUCAGCGCUGCUACAGGACCACCAAUUCACGCAGACUGGCAAGCAAAUGGCAGUGCCACAGUGUUCAAGCUCGGAAUCUGCUGGAUCAGUGCCAGCGGAGGCAAAGAUCUCACACGUCGGUGCCAACCCCUCCAGGGCUUUCAUCUCUGUUCCAAGGAAUUUGACAUUUUCAAAAAUCCGAAAUCAAUUGGAACGGAGCCGGCUUUGUCCAGCAGGUUAUUAAUGGCCCUGGAGCCGACUGAUCAUAUUUGCACAACCUUUCAAUAAACAGCUUCAACAACAACUAGGGUGGAAAAGAAAGCACACACCCCAUCCAAUCGGGACAAACUCGAAGUAUUGAUUACACCACCUCCUUCCCCAACCCCCGUCUUUCAAAACAAAUUUCGAGUCUUACAUCAGGGCAGUUGAUCAUUGCCAAACUCCCGUGUCACCAGGUCCCGACCGUGUUUUGCUGGCAUAGCGCGUUGCCUCCUUUAACUGAAGUAACUUCCAAGAUUUCCUGAGGCCAGGGCUAUAAACCGCUGAAUCCUGGGGAAGGCGGACAUGAAAGGAACAUCUGGGUGGGCCCAGGAUCUCCAGGUAGCUCUUCCUGACUGAUCACUUCUCAGCUCGUUGGACAGAUGCUGCCAUAACCCGCAGUCGGAGGGUCUGGUCCUCCCAGAGCCUGUAAACAGAAGGCACUCCUGCCGGGAGGGUGAGGAGCGGGCCCACAGAGCCUCUCCACCCGGAGAGGUCUUUAUUAGGCUUUAUUAGGCUUCUUUCUGUUUAGACCCUGUCCUGUUGGUGAGAAAAGGAAGGACAACCAUGGGAGCGAUUUCCGAGAGCCCGGUCUUCUGGUCUACACCCCCGUCCGUGCUGCCCUGCUGACCUGACAGCCUUCUUGGUCCUCACCCAUGGUGGCAGCGACAAUGACAGCCUGGUGACAGGCAGACACGGAUUUUCUCCUAUCUCUUAAUUGUUCCAAAAUGUGCUGUGUCAAUACAAGUUAAUUGCUUAACUGUGCAACACCCUUCCCACUCCUUCAGUUUCGUCGGCUUUAAUGAUUCAUUAAACCUGUUUCGCUUAUUC